ensembl:lncRNA
GCGGGCUAAGUGUGGGCUAGGGUUAGCGGGGGCUAAGUGUGGGCUAGGGUUAGCGGGGGCUAAGUGGGGGCUAGGGUUAGCGGGGGCUAAGUGUGGGCUAGGGUUAGCGGGGGCUAAGUGUGGGCUAGGGUUAGCGGGGGCUAAGUGUGGGCUAGGGUUAGCGGGGGCUAAGUGUGGGCUAGGGUUAGCGGGGGCUAAGUGUGGGCUAGGGUUAGCGGGGGCUAAGUGUGGGCUAGGGUUAGCGGGGGCUAAGUGUGGGCUAGGGUUAGCGGGGGCUAAGUUGUGGGUAGGGUUAGCGGGGGCUAAGUGUGGGCUAGGGUUAGCGGGGGCUAAGUGUGGGCUAGGGUUAGCGGGGGCUAAGUGUGGGCUAGGGUUAGCGGGGGCUAAGGGUGGGCUAGGGUUAGGGGGGCUAAGUGGGCUAGGGUUAGCGGGGGCUAAGGGUGGGCUAGGGUUAGCGGGGGCUAAGUGGGGCUAGGGUUAGCGGGGGCUAAGUGGGG